rnacentral:lncRNA from 1 species
AAAGAUGCUCAGAUCAAAUAAGUAAUAGAACAAGCCCCAGUAUAUGAAGUGUGCAUUAAUUCACAUGCUAGCAAUAAAGCAAGCAUAGAUUGUUUCAUUUUCAUACUUCUUUUGAUAAAGCAACUAGUCAAAAUAUGGUAGUGAAACAGUGUGUUUAAAGAGUAAAUGUAUGCAUGGCAUAUUUUAUUUAUCAUGUAGCUUUUAUUGCUAAGUGUUAAAAGAAUUGUCUUGCAACUAGAUAUGAUGACUACAGCCUUUGAGCAAGAGACAUUUUGAAAGAGCUGCUUUGUAAAGUAUGCAAUAAUAAUAACAUCCAAACUGAUUAGGGAUGUCAUAAUAUUACCAGUAGGUAUUUAAAAUCCCCAAUGAUUUGUUUGUUUAUUUGAAGUUCUGGGUUUUAUUUUUCCUCCUUUUAAAAGUAGCGCAGCACUGUGCUUCUUUUGUAAGAGAAAUAAUGUCAACAGAAGGCUAAAGAGCACGUGCCUGUAGAACAUCUGCUAUAAGAAGCCACUUGAAAAAUAACCACUCAGUAGCAUGAUAAGAAAACAUCUGUGAAGCACUAGGAAGAGUAUCAGCAAUGGGAGGAGGCAGACCUUUCUGUACCAGGGAACUACUGAUUAAUUGGGCCAUAUGAUGGGAGGAGGCUCCCAGCAUGGAGCAGAUUUAGCCUUCAACUACGCUGAAGAUGUAAACUCCAUCAUCUUCCAGAUGGUGGCAAACAGAGCUCCAGGAAUAGACUGCAAAACCAUAUGCAAGUAAGAUCACUGUGAAAUGAGAAGGACAUGAACCAGAGCUGCUGAUCUGAACACAUCCUUUUUUUUUUUUUUGGAGGAUUUUGGAUCCAGAAAUUAAUAUCUAAGAAAAAAUAAAUACACCAUGAGGAAAAGAUACUCUUUAAUU